rnacentral:rRNA from 1 species
AGAACGAACGCUGGCGGCAGGCUUAACACAUGCAAGUCGAGCGCCCAGCAAUGGGAGCGGCGGACGGGUGAGUAACACGUGGGAACAUGCCCUUUGGUACGGGACAACUCAGGGAAACUUGAGCUAAUACCGUAUGAGCCGGUAACGGGAAAGAUUUAUCGCCAAAGGAAUGGCCCGCGUCCGAUUAGCUAGUUGGUGAGGUAAUGGCUCACCAAGGCACCGAUCGGUAGCUGGUUUGAGAGAACGACCAGCCACACUGGGACUGAGACACGGGCCCAGACUCCUACGGGAGGCAGCAGUGGGGAAUCUUGGACAAUGGGGGCAACCCUGAUCCAGCCAUGCCGCGUGAGUGAUGAAGGCCUUCGGGUUGUAAAACUCUUUCGACGGGGACGAUAAUGACGGUACCCGUAGAAGAAGCUCCGGCUAACUUCGUAGCCAGCAGCCGC